rnacentral:tRNA from 1 species
ACUCCGCUUGGUGUAGUUGGUUUAUCACGUUCGACUGUAAUAGCAAUUGUUAUCGAAAGGUCCCUAGUUCGAUUCUGGGAGCGGAGA